rnacentral:rRNA from 1 species
UACGUAGGGUGCAAGCGUUUGUCCGGAAUUAUUGGGCGUAAAGAGCUCGUAGGCGGUUCGUCACGUCGGCUGUGAAAUCCCGAGGCUCAACCUCGGGUCUGCAGUCGAUACGGGGCGGACUGGAGUACUACAGGGGAGACUGGAAUUCCUGGUGUAGCGGUGAAAUGCGUAGAUAUCAGGAGGAAUACCGAUGGCGAAGGCAGGUCUCUGGGCUAGAACUGACGCUCAUGCACGAAAAGCGUGGGGGAGCAAAACAGG